UGGAGCCUGGAGUCUAUGGAUUCCAUCUCCACAACAUAAUGAAGUGCUUUGAAAGCUACCUUAUCUGAUUAAGAGCUACAUACAUCUAUUAACUCAGUGUUCAUGGUCCACAGCACUUAGGAGAAUGUGCAGAAGAAUCAAGUCCUAUCAAUCAUGGUCAAACCAUCUCUCACGACUACAGCACAGGGCAAAACAUCUCUUUCGUUUCUCUUGGAUUCAUUUCAGACACAACUGAGUCAUCCUUAUAAAGGUUCUGGAAGCCUCAUGCCCCUUCUACCCCCACUCCUUCCUCUACAAAGCUGCCUCCAUCCUGUAGGUACCCUAACAGAACAUUCUUCAGGCUGAUACUGGCUCGUUUGAAGUUUUGACCUCCGAGGCCCCCCACCCCCACCCCGAGGCAGAGUCUUGUGCAUCCUAGAGCCUCCUGCCCUGGCCUCUCAAAUUCUAGGAUCACAAGUGUGCACCACCUCUCCCCCCUCAACCUUCAAGGUGUCCAGGGAAGGGUCCCCUUCCCUUUCAUCCUGGACUUGCCAGGGGCACCCUGUCCUCCCCUACCUCUAGUCCUGAGGACUCCAGCUCAGGAUACCCACUGCUCAGUGUCUCAAUCAACUUCCUGUUGCCUGCAAGAUUUACGACUCUCAGCUCCAGCACCGCAUCUGCCUACAUGCGGCCAUGCUCCCAGUCAUGAUGAUAAUGGACUGAACCUCUGAAACUCUCGCUUCUCUGCAAGCUGUCUUUAACCACGACGCCUAACUACAAGAGUGAGGUCUCCUAAAGUACCUGGCAGCUUACAUAAUGGAAACAAGGCAGAAGGCCCAGUUGGGAAGGCUCAAGGCUGCUGUGCAGGUGGACCCAGAAGGAACCAGUCCCGGAUCCUGGACUGUUCUUGCUUUCAGAACACUCCCCGCGUGAACACACGAACCUCUCCAAUCAUUGCCUCCAGUUUGUCCUGGUGCGGGAGAAUUGUCUGUAUUCUGUCAAUCAUGUAUUUUAAUAAAACGAUUGAUUGGC